rnacentral:rRNA from 1 species
AGAGUUUGAUCCUGGCUCAGAACGAACGCUGGCGGCGUGCUUAACACAUGCAAGUCGAACGCGAAAGGGACUUCGGUCCCGAGUAGAGUGGCGCACGGGUGAGUAACGCGUGGGUAACCUACCCAUAAAGCCGGGACAACCCUUGGAAACGAGGGCUAAUACCGGAUAAUCUUUUAGCUUGGCAUCAAGUUUUAAGAAAAGGUGGCCUCUGARKAUGCURCCGAUUAUGGAUGGACCCGCGUCUGAUUAGCUGGUUGGUGGGGUAAAGGCCUACCAAGGCGACGAUCAGUAGCCGGCCUGAGAGGGUGAACGGCCACACUGGGACUGAGACACGGCCCAGACUCCUACGGGAGGCAGCAGUGGGGAAUCUUCCGCAAUGGACGAAAGUCUGACGGAGCAACGCCGCGUGUAUGAUGAAGGUCUUCGGAUUGUAAAGUACUGUCUUUGGGGAAGAAUGACGGAUUUGAAAAUAUUGAGUUCGUAUGACGGUACCCAAGGAGGAAGCCCCGGCUAACUACGUGCCAGCAGCCGCGGUAA